AUUGAACGCUGGCGGCAGGCCUAACACAUGCAAGUCGAGCGGAUGAAGGGAGCUUGCUCCUGGAUUCAGCGGCGGACGGGUGAGUAAUGCCUAGGAAUCUGCCUGGUAGUGGGGGAUAACGUCCGGAAACGGGCGCUAAUACCGCAUACGUCCUGAGGGAGAAAGUAGGGGAUCUUCGGACCUCACGCUAUCAGAUGAGCCUAGGUCGGAUUAGCUAGUUGGUGGGGUAAAGGCCUACCAAGGCGACGAUCCGUAACUGGUCUGAGAGGAUGAUCAGUCACACUGGAACUGAGACACGGUCCAGACUCCUACGGGAGGCAGCAGUGGGGAAUAUUGGACAAUGGGCGAAAGCCUGAUCCAGCCAUGCCGCGUGUGUGAAGAAGGUCUUCGGAUUGUAAAGCACUUUAAGUUGGGAGGAAGGGCAGUAAGUUAAUACCUUGCUGUUUUGACGUUACCAACAGAGUAAGCACCGGCUAACUUCGUG
rnacentral:rRNA from 1 species